AUCCUUAUCAAUUUUUUUGUGCUUUUUUUUAACUUAAUUUUUUAGAAGUGUGAAAAAUUUGAGUUAAGAUCAAUGGUUUAUUCAUUAGUUAUUGAGGUUUAAAUCUAUUAUAGGAAUUAUUAGGAUUUGGUUUAAGGUUUGGUUAAGAUUUGAUUUGGAGUUUAGGAUUUGGAUUAGGGUUUGAUUUAGGAUUUAGGAUUUGAUUUAGGAUUUAGGAUUUGAUUAAGGUUUUGUUUAGGAUUUGGUUAGGAUUUUAUUUAGGAUUUAGGAUUUGGUUAAGAUUUGAUUUAGGAUUUAGGGUUUGGUUAGGAAUUGAUUUAGGAUUUAGAGUUUGGAUUAGGAUUUAGUUUAGGAUUUAAGAUUUGGUUAGGGUUUGGUUUAGGGUUUAGGAUUUGGAUUAGGAUUUAGUUUAGGAUUUAAGAUUUGGUUAGGGUUUGGUUUAGGGUUUAGGAUUUGGAUUAGGAUUUAGUUUAGGGUUUGGUUAAGAUUUGAUUUAGGGUUUAGGAUUUGGUUAGAGUUUGAUUUAAGAUUUAGAGUUUGGAUUAGGAUUUGGUUUAGGGUUUAGGAUUUGGAUUAGGAUUUGGUUAGGGUUUGAUUUAGGAUUUAGGAUUUGAUUUAGGAUUUGGUUAGGAUUUGGUUUAGGAUUUGGUUGAGAUUUGGUUUAAGGUUUGUUUAGGAUUUGAUUUUGGAUUUAGGAUUUUAUUAGAAUUUAAGAUUCAAUUAGUUUUGGCCUAAAGUUUGAAUGAAGUUCAAUAGGAUUUUAACUAGAAUUAAAUUAAGAUUGAAUUGAAAUGUAUUUGAGUGAUAUUUGUGUUCUUUCUAAUGUUUCCUUAAGAAUUCUUAUUGUUUGUUUGAAAUUUCUUUGAGGUUUUUUUUUAAUUUGAUUAAGCUUGCUUAGCAUUAUUAUAGUCUAAUUAGAGCAUUGUUAACAUUCUAUUAGAAUUAGGAUUUUGUUAUUGCAAUUUUCAUUCUUCCUUCCACAGCUAGGUGCCCGAAGCAUUCUCAAGCCAGACUUCACGUAUUAUGACAUAUUUGGUGAACGCGACGUAAAACGCUUGAGGUGGAAGGAAUUUGGUUUAUUUUUUGAAUUAUUUGAAUUUUGGAGAAGGAAUUCAAGGAGAAAGGAAGGAGAAAUUUUUUAUGGUGCUUCAAGUGGAGUUGGAAGUGGUGCUUCAAGUGGAGUUGGAAGUGGUGCUUCAAGUAGAGUUGGAAGAGGAACUUCGAUUGGAGGACAAGGUAUGCAUUUUGAUCCUAACUUUGCAAGCGUGGUUUGUUAAAGUAAAUAGAGGAUAAGUUAGAAGAUAAAAGAUAUUAUCUUAGAUAAGUUGCUAAUGGUCAAAAGGCAGCAAAAAGAUGAAAGAAAGUUAUCAAGGUGUCAGCUAGGGUUUUAAGUGGCGGCUAGGGUUUAGUUAGAUGAAAGUAAGUUGAAUACUAGCCAAAAUGGAUGUACUACUACCUAUAAGUAAAAGGUGUUGGAAGUGAGAGGUAUUUCAUUCCACACUUCUCUCGUGUCUAACCUUGCUGAUUUCUACUUACUUGUGUCUUGCUUAUUGUAUUUAUUCAAUAGAUUAUGGGCCCAUUUACACUUUGUUGUGCCAUUCAAGUAGGUUGAAGUCAUUUGCUGGUUGUUGUUCUUGUGUGGAAUAGAUCUUAUGGUGUUUACUGAUGUUAGAGAUUCUAUGAUCUAAUCUGGUGUUUUGACAUGUGGAGGUUCUGAUUUGGAUCUUAUAGAUCUCUUAUAUUAGUUUGAAGGUUCUUAACACCUAAGAUUGAGUGAUUAAGACCUUAUACAAAGACCUUGAUGGUGUCUUUGAUUUUGUGGUGAGAAAGUGAGUUUUAUGAGUGAAAGUAUUUGAUGGUGAGGUUGAUUGGAGCUCAUAUACUUGUAAGAAGCUUCAAAAGUUGAUUUGGGAGUGUUUGGAGUGAAGAAACAUUCAUUUGUUCACAAGAGGGCAUUCUGAGAUUUUGCUAGUACAAAAUUGUUUUAGUGAUUUUAAGCACAUAGAGACUCUUUUUCUUGAUAUUUUUUGAUAGACCUCUUUUAAGACAUGGCUUCAAGUGAGGGUGAAGGUUUGAGAGUAAUUGAGAAGUUUAGAGGUGACAAUUUCUACCAUUGGAAGGUCAAAAUGGAACUUUUAUUGGUGUCUUUGAACCUUUGGAAUAUUGUAGAUGAAAGUGAAGAGCCUCCGAGCAUGCAUGCUGAUGCUAAAGAAAAGAAGGACUUUACAAGAUGAGAAAAGAAGGCUUUUGGCAUGAUUGCCACUAAUUUGGAUGAAGCCAACUUUUCUCACAUCAUCUCUUACAAAGGACCAAUAGAAGCAUGGAAGACUCUUUGCAACAUAUAUGAGAGCAAGAACUUGUCUAAUAUCAUCUUCACAAGGAAGAAAUUCUUCACUUGCAAGAUGGAAGAAGGUGAAGACCUCAUGACUCAUAUCAACAAGAUAAAAGUCCUUGCUAAUCAACUUGCUAUUGUUGACAAGCCUUUAGAAGAGAGUGAUAUUGUCAUGACCUUGCUUAUGAGUCUUCUCGAGUCCUACAACUACCUCAUUGUGGCAUUGAAAUCCAUCAAAGUAAAAGAACUCACAAUGGAUUAUGUGACGGCAAGACUUACCCAUGAAGUGACCAAGAGGAAAGAAAAAGAGCCCCAAAGUGAAGAUUCGGCUCUGUUUUCAAGGCAAAGCAAGGGGAGUCAUCCUAACCAACGUGGCAAUGUGAGAACUUGCUUCAUUUGUAGAAAACUAGGUCACUUUGGUCGAAAUUGCUACAAGUCUAAAAAAAAGAGAUAGAGAAAGUACAAACAAUGCUCAUGAUGAAUAAAGAGGUGAUGAUUAUGCAUUCAUGGCAAGUGAAGGCACUUUCAUGGCUGCCAUGUCCAAAUGGAUCAUUGAUUCUAAUGCCACCAAGCACAUGACUCUAUACAAGUGUUCAUUUAACACGUAUGAAGAGAUUUCAAUAGUAAAUAUCCUCAUGGGAGACAAUGGCAUAAUAUAAGCUAUUAGAAUGGACUCCAUUGUUAUAGAGAUUGUUGUGAAAGGCCAAACCAAGAGGAUCAAAUUGAAGGACGUCUUACAUGUGCCAAAGAUGAAAAAAAACCUCCUCUCGAUGAGUAAACUUAUUUCACAUGGUUGUAAAGUGUAAUUUGAUAUUAAUGGAUAUUUUGUGAAGACAUCGAAAAGAGAUCAUAUUACAAAGGGCUUUAGAGAUGGCAACCUCUACUUCAUCAACUGUAAGAAGGUGAAUAGAGUUGAAGUGGCGGCAUUUGCUGAAUUUCCUCAAGAUCAAGACAAGUUUGGCAUUUGGCAUCGAUGCCUUGGUCAUUUGAAUGCGAAGAGCAUGAAGGAGCUCCAAUCCAUGGUAAGUGGCUUAGAUCUUGGUCAUAUAAGCCACAAUGCUAUGACACUUGCUUGUGAAGGUUGUAUUCAAGGCAAACAAUAAAAGGCCUCAUUUCCAAGUGGAGUUGCAACACAUGCAACCAAGUUAUUAGAGAUUGACCAUUUUGAUGUUUGUGGACCUAUGAGGAUGCUAUCAAUAGGAGGUACAAGAUAUUUUGUCACAUUCAUUGAUGACUUUUCAAGGAAAGUAUGGAUUUUCAUCCUCAAAGCAAAGAAUGAGUGUUUUACAAGGUUUAAGGAGUUUAAGGCACUUGUGGAGAAGCAAUGUGAAUGCAAAAUCAAGGUAUUGCAUACAGACAAUGGAGAUGAGUAUAUGUCAAAGCAAUUCAAUGAUUUCUUAAUGUUACAUAGUAUUGCAAGAUAAACCUCCACUCCUUACACUCCACAACAAAAUGGAGUUGCUGAAAGAAUAAAUUCGACUAUUGUGGAGAUGGCAAGGAGUAUGCUUCAUGCACAACACCUUCGACAUGAGUUUUGGGCGGAAGCAGUGGUGAAUCCAAUAUACAUAAGAAAUAGGUGUCCUACAAGUGCACUUACAUCAAUGAUGCUGGAAGAAGCUUAGAGUGGGAGAAAACCUUGUAUUUCUCACAUAAGGACCUUUGGAUGUAUAGCAUAUGCAAAGAUACUAGAUUGUAUGAGAUCAAAAUUUGAUGCAAAAGGUAUAAAAUAUGUGUUUGUUGGAUAUUAUGAAGGUACAAAGGCUUAUAGGCUCAUGUGCUUGGAGACUAAAAAGAUCAUCAAAUAUUGUGAGGUGUAAAGUAAGAUUGAUUGCCAAAGGCUACUCACAAGUUGUUGGUGUUGAUUUCAAUGAGACAUUUUUUCCCAUAGCCAAAUUCACCACCAUUAGAACUAUUGUGGCAAUUGGGGCAGCAAUGGACUUGGAGAUGUACCAAAUGGAUGUGAAGAUAGCUUUCUUGAAUGGAGAAUUGGAAGAAGACAUCUACAUGGAUCAACCUCAAGGAUUUUUUGAAGAAGACAAAUAACACCUUUUGUGUAAGUUUAAGAAAUCUUUGUAUGGGCUGAAGUAAUCAUCAAGGGCAUGGUACCAACGUAUCGAUACCUUCUUUGUGAAUGAAGGAUUUGUGAGGAGUGAGGCUGAUCAUUCCAUGUAUGUGAUGCAAUCAAAAGCCUUCUUGCUAAUUGUUAUUCUUUAUGUUGAUGAUUUGAUCAUUUUGACCAAUUCUUUGAAAAAGAUGGAUUGAUUGAAGGCAAAGUUAGCAAAAGAAUUUGAAAUGAGUGAUUUGGGAGAGCUCCACUAUUGCUUAGGAGUGGAAUUUGUGAGAGAUCAAGCUAAGAAGAUCAUUACAUUGAGCUAAAAGAAGUACAUUGAAGAAGUAUUGAAACAGUUCAACAUAGAGGAGUGCAAGUCCAUUGAAACACCUUUGGAGGUAAAUUUGAAGUUGAUGAAGCUCACGGAUGAGGAAUUUACUGAAGUUGAAGAAGAAAUGAAAGAUGUUCUAUACAAGGCAGUAGUAGGCUCACUUAUGUAUGCAAUGGUUGAUACAAGGGUGGAUCUUGCAUAUGCGGUGAGUGUUGUGAGUCAACACAUGUCAAAGGCUGGACCAAUUCAUUAGGCAACCAUUAAGAGGAUCUUGAGGUACUUAAAAGGCACUUUGAACUUCAAAUUGUAUCUUGGAGGUGAUAGUGUUACAUUGCAUGGAUAUUCUGAUGCAGAUUGGACUAGAGAUGCAAAUGAUAGAAGAUCAAGAAUAGGAUAUGUAUUUUUUGUUGGAGUGGGAGCAAUUCCAUGGAAUUGUAAGAGACAACCAAUAAUUACAAGGUCUACAAUAGAGGCGGAAUAUAUGGCAGCAAAUCAUGGUACAAUGGAGGCAAUAUAGCUAAGACAAGUUUUAGAAGACAUUGGACUUGCGCAAUUGGAAGGAACUCCAAUGAAAUGUGACAAUCAAGAAUAUCUUGGUUUUGCCAAGAAUCCAAAUCAUCAUUCAAGGACAAAGCACAUUAACAUUCAACAUCACUUCAUACGAGAGAAGAUUAAGAUGGGAGUAAUUGACAUAAAAUAUUGUGCAAAAGAAGAUAUGCUUGCAGAUUUACUCACAAAAGAAUUGGUAAAGGAUAGACAUUACAAAUUGAAAAAGGGAUUAGGUUUAUUCACCUUUGAUCAAUAGCAAAGUAAAAGUGUUAAAGUAAAUGGAGGAUAAGUUAGAAGAUAAAAGAUAUUAUCUUAGAUAAGUUGCUAAUGGUCAAAGGGCAGCAAAAAGAUGAAGAAAAGUUAUCAAGGUGGCGGCUAGUAUUAUAGGUGGCAGUUAGGGUUUAAAGUGGCGACUAGGUUAAGAGGAUUCUACGGUUUAAUUGGAUGAAAGUAAGAUGAAUAUUAGCCAAAAUAGAUUUAAUCUCUACCUAUAAGUAAAGGGUGCUAGAAGUGAGAGGUAUCUCAUUCCACACUUCUCUUGUGUCUAACCUUGCUGAUUUCUACUUACUUGUAUCUUGCUUAUUGUAUUUCUUCAAUAUGUUUGAAGCUUUGGCCUUAUUCAUGCAACAGAUUAAAGAUCGCAAAGAGAGUAUGGCUAAUAAAGCAUUACAAGUGGUUGUGGACAAGAUCGAUCAAUUUGAAGGAAAGGAUAUUAUGAAAUAUUUAAGAUGUUAUGUAAAGGAAAUAGAAUUGAAGCGUAUUUUAGAAAGGGAGAUGGUUCAAUUAUUUCAAUUAGCCUCUGCACGAGAGAUAAGAAAUCAAGUAAAGACUCUUAUAGAAUAUUUUGGUUCAUGGGAGAAAUUUUCUCAAUCAUUGAAGGAUGAGUUUUUCUUGGAAGAUAGUGAUAGGAUUACAAAAUAGUCUUUUUUUGAAUGGAUUGAAAGGCUAGAGAAGGAUCUUCUAGCAACAAAAUUGUUAAAGGAGUUUGAAAAGUAAUAUUUUUUUUUAUCAAAGAAAGAAAGACAAUUAUUGGAUCCAAGUAAAGUGGAGCUCUUUCUUCAAGUAGCUGAUGGAAAGUCACAAGAGAACUUAGAAAUCAUGCUUGAAGAUAAAGAAGAAGAUGAAGGAUUGACAACAAAUUAGAAAAGAGUAGAGGAGGUUGUGAGGUUGUUGACAAAAAGAGAAAGGACAAAAGAUAUGAGGGGUGAUCAAAGACCAUUACAAGCAUCUAAGGUAAAGGUAUCUAGUAUCCAUCCGACAUCUUUGAUUCAACCUUCAAUGGCUACAUCAAAGAAAAAAAAAAUGGAAAUUGAUGAAAUCAUACGUGGGAUAAGAGAUUUACAAAUAAAAUUUACAAAACUUGAAGAGAAGGGUCAAUCAUGAAGAAUAUCAACAAAACAAAGACCAAGACCAAUGGAGGGUGUAGUACAUAGGUGUAUGUAGUGUGAUAGCAUAGAUCACUCAAAGAGGGAAUGUGAAGAUUUUACAGAGGCAUUAUGUAAAAGAGUUGUUUUUUUUAAAGAUGGUAUGAUACUGUCAAAAGAAAGUAGAGAAAAAUUAAAAAAAAAUUUUGGUAAAAGAAGAAUGAAGUUAUUUGUUGGAGAUACUUUUAAAGUGCAUACAAUCUCAAGCAAUGAAGCAUCAAUAUAUUAAAUAGAAGCAGAUCCUAGUAGAUGUUUAAGUAUAAAUCUUGAGUUUCCAGGAGAAUCUAAUUCUUUAUGGAUAAGUGCAAUGAGUUAUGCUAAAAGGAGAAAUUUUACUAGAGAUGAUUUAAAACAUAUUGGUAAUAAUAUUCGACAAAUUACUGGGUGGGAUGAUCCAAUAGAUAGAUUAUCUGUACAUGUUCAUAUUACAAGGAAUUAGUAUGAAGCAUUAAUAGAAGAAAAAGGAAGGAGAGAUGAAAAUAAUGAAGGGCCCUCAAAAAGAACUACAAGGGAAAAAAAAAGCAUGACAAUAAAAGAAUCCUAUUCAUAAAGAGACAAUAGAGAACAUUUCUACAAAAGGAAGGGAACUUAAAAAAGAAAAAGGAAAGGCUCCUGCUUAUAAAUUAUAAUCAGAUAUUGAAGCUGUUAUAGAUUUGAAGAAGGUAUUGGAGGAGCAGAUUUUAAGUGGAAAGGUUGAAUUCACAAUUGGUAAAAUUCUAGGAAUUACAAAGCGUGAGUUUCAUGAAGUUAUUAUUGAUACAAUAAAGAGAAAAUGAUAAUCUAUAGGAGACUCUAUGACAUCAAAUGCACAAAGAACAAGAGCAAUAGAAAGAAAUGAAGAUGAAGAAUAGAAAUAUAAAAUUAUGGGGAUGUCUUGCGAGUAAGAUUUUAGAAAAAGAAGAUAUCAUUCAAGCUUCUAGCCAUUAUUCUAGAAGUCAUUGAGCAAAGGCUAUGACGGAGACUUUAAUAAAAUUGGAAAAUUUAGAAGAACCAGCUGUAGCAUUGAUUGAUAAUGGUUCUGAAAUCAAUUUGAUGUCAAAAGAAUUGUAUAACAAGGAAAAAUAGCCUAUUGAUACUGGGUGGAUGAUAAGAGCUGCAAAUAAUUCAAAGAGAGAUUUGUAUGGAGCAUGUCAAAAUAUCAAGGUGACAAUAGGAGGUGUUAUUCAUGAACAGAAUUUCUUUCUGCAAGGCAUGUCUACAUAUCCAAUUAUAUUGGGACAACCAUAUAUUAUUUCCACACGAAUGGAAACAAAAGUAAUAGAUGAUGGUUCAGCCUAUGCAAGAAUAAGAAGCCAAGAUGGGAUGAAAGCAGUUCAAUUUUUAACUGUUUGUACUAAUCAUGAGAGAAAUUGUGAUAAGUUGAGAGAGAAGCUAUUAUCAAAUGAGAAAUUUGAAGACCUUGAGGAUUUUUACCACACACCAUUGUAAGGUGGGGUUGCAAUAGAUUAGAGACAAAAAAAGCUCCCACUUAAUUUAGAAGAAGAAAUAUUAUCUACCGGACUUAUGGGGAUGACAUAAGAUUGUGUAUUGACUUUUAAGACUAUUGAUAAGAUGAAAAGGAGGGACAAAUGUUAUAUUAAAAAUAUUGAGCGAAACUUGAAAGAAAAUGGAUAAUUGGUUGAAAAUGAAUUUAUUUCGGGAACAUAUGAAGAAGUAGGUUUUGUAGAUAUUAUGGGAGAAUUAAAUUAUCUAUUACAAUGUAGGUUACAAGUAGAGAAUAGAGUUAUUAAUGUGUGUUCUAAAUAAUUUUAUGAUAAAAUUCAAGGAUUUAUGGAAAAUUUAAGUUGCAAAGAGGUAUAUGUUGAAACUAAGUAUAAGUCAGUAGCAAGAAAGGUCAAACCAGUGGCUUUGCCACUACCAUCUAAUUAUGAAGAAGAGAUAAGUGGAGCAUUGACACAACCAAAUUUAAGAGAUCCAAAGAAGAUAGGGCAUAAAUUUAUGGAUGUUAUAUUAGAUGGAUUAAAUAUUGGAUGUGAUGGAUUUUUGACAAAAUGUGAAGAAAAAUAUUUUAGAGAUAUGCUUUCAUGUCAUGGAAAGACUUUUACAUUUGAUGCACAUGAAAUUAGGUGUGUUGAUCUAAUUAUUGUAGCACCCAUGGUUAUUUUUAUUAUUCCUCAUGAACCAUGGAAUUUGCGACCAAUUCCAGCACCAAGAGCACAUUUAUCUAAGUUAGUAGAUUUAUUCAAUGAAAAGAUUAAAAUGAGAAUUUCGGAACCAUCUAUAGCACCUUAUUCUAAUUGAUGGUUUAUAGUACUAAAGAAAAAUGGAACAAUGAGAUUUAUACAAGAUAUGCAAUCCGUAAAUAAAGUGACUAUUAGAAAUAUGGGUUCAAGUCCAAUUGUGAAUGAAUUUGUAGAAGCAUUUGUUGGAAGAGCUAUCUAUUCAAUGGCUGAUCUUUAUUCAAGUUAUGAUCAAUUUCAAUUGGCAAUACAAAGUAGAGAUUUGAUAACUAUGAAGACACCAUUAGGAUUAGUUAGAAUGUGCACAUUACUACAAGGGGCUACAAAUUCUGUAUCACAUAUGAUGAAUGGAAUGCAUAAGGUAUUAAGAGAGUUUAUUCUAAGAAUAACAAUGCCUUUUUUGGAUGAUGUACCUAUUAAGGGAUGUGAAGAAGAAGGAAAAGAUGAAACUUUGGAUUCAAAGGGAUGUAGGAAGUUUGUGGCAGAUCAUAUUGAAGAUUGUGAGAAGAUUUUGAAAAGAUUGGAAGAAGUUCAUUUAAUCUUAUCGAGGGCAAAAUCAAUGUUUGGAGUAAAAGAAAUUUUGGUGGUAGGACACAUGUGUGAUUCAUAUGGAUGUAAGCCAAGUAUAGAAAAGAUUGAUAUUAUUAAAAAGAUGAAAGAAUAUACAAAUAUAACGAAAGUGAGAAGAUUUUUAGGAGCAUGUAUUUUCUAUCAUAUAUGGAUACCUCACUUUGCACAUAUAAUAGAUCUAUUGUAUGAGUUGUUAAGAAAGAAUCAAAAAUUUCAAUGGAAAGAAGAACAACAAAAAGCUAUAGAAAAAUUGAAAGAAUUUCUUUCUUCAUCUCCAACUUUGAAGAAAGUAAAUUAUGAAGGUAGAAGGCCAAUGGUAUUAACAGUUGAUGCAAGUCCAAUUCAAAUAGGUUGGGUGGUUGGACAAGAUGAUGAAUAUGGGAAUAUAUAUGUAAUAAGAUUUGGAACAAAGAUAUUGAAUUCUAGGCAAAGGGCAUAUGUGCAAAUCAAAAGAGAAUUAUGGGGUGUAGUAAUAGCUAUGAAAAAUGAAAAAAAUACUUGAUUGGUGCAUCAGUAGUUAUAGAAAUAGAUUGUCUACCUUUGUUAGGCAUGAUUACAAGUUGUUCAACUCCUGAUAUUGCUAUGUUGAGGUGGAUAGCAUAUAUCAAAUUUAUGAAUCUAAAAUUUAAACAUAUUAUAGGAAAAGAAAAUUCAACUACAAAUAUGUUAUCAAGAGUAAGGUAUAAUGAUGAAAAAAAGAUGAUUGAUUUAGAAGAUGAUGUGGGUACAAAUUUUUAUACUAAUGCGUUAUCAAAGGAGAAGGGUGUAUGUUUUAAUAUACCAUUAGAAAUAUUUUUAAGAGAUUUAUAUAAAAAUGAAUAGAAAGAUGUUGGAGAGUAUUUGAGUACAUUAAAGCGACAAAAGAGUUGGACAAAUCAAGAAUUUAAGAAAAUCCGUAAGAAAGCCUAUGGAUAUUUUUUACAUGAUAGAUAUUUAUGGAAGCAUCUAAAAAAGAGAGAAGAAGUACCACAAAAAGUGAUAUGUGGUUUAAAAGCUCAACAAAGGAUUAUUAAAGAAUUUCAUGAAAAUUUAUGGGUAGAGCAUUGAGGUAUUUGGAAAACAUUCACUAAGUUAAGAGAAAAAUAUUGGUGGAAGGGAAUGUACAAAGACAUAGCAAAAUUUGUAGAAUCUUGUGAGACUUGCUAAGUGUAUUCAAAUAUUCGGCAUCGAGAUGGAUUACAUCUAACAUACCCUUUAGCUUUAUAUUACAAGUAGGUGGUGGAUUUAGUGACAAUGCCUAUGGGACUUGGACAAAUGAAGUAUUUGGUACUUGCACGAGAAGAUUUAUCAUAUAUGGUUGAAGGACGAGCAUUAAAAACAAAGGAUACUAAAAGAGUAUGUCGAUUUCUAUUAGAAGAAGUUAUUUGUUGCUAUAGUUGUAUUAGAAAAAUUACGAUGGAUAGGAGUGAAUUGGAUGCAAAGGAAGCACGAAAAUUCUUUAGUAGAAGAGGAAUUAAACUUUCUUUAACAACAACAUAUAACCCAAAAAAUAAUGAUAAAAGUGAGUGUGGACAUUCACCUAUUGUUAAGUGUAGAAUAGAUAUUAAUUUGUUUUUGAAAGAUAUUGGUAAAAUAUAUUAAUAGUCCAUAUAAUAGGAAAUUCAGGAGGACGGAUGAGUGAUUUAGUUCUUAAAAGUGGUUAACUAUAGAAUUACGGUUAAAAUCUGGAGAAUCAAGGGAAAGUAUAUAGGAGUUGUAGAAGUUAAUUAAGGUGCCAAACUGUGAGAGUCGUAAGCCGAGGGCCAGACUGUGAGAGUCAUAAGCCGAGGGCUAAACUGUAAUAGUCAUGAGCCGAGGGCCAUCAUUGUGAUAGUCAUGAGCCGAGGGCCAUCACUAUGAUAGUUGUGAGCCAGGAUAAGCUUGGUGCUACCUCUUUUCUUUUGUUUGUUAUUUUCUUUUAAUAAGAGAAUUGAGAGUUUCUAAAUAUUGUGAAGUGAAUUAUGGAAUGGAAAUGUGAUUGGUAUUAUUUGAGAAGAAGAAAGAUUGAAUGCUGAAAUCUGAUUAUAGUUCAGUAGAGAGAAUGAGUCUGUGUUUGUGUGAAACACCGUAAUGUGAAUGGCAGUUCUGUGUGAAGAAUUCCAAUGAUUGGAAUGAGGAUAAUUGUGUGCUGAAAGUUGUGAGGGCACAGUAUUAUAAUUGAAGAUUAUGAGGGUGAAUAUAUUGGUAGAAAUAGCAGUUAUUGGUAUGGCUGAAUUGCUGUAAGGAAGAGAUCGAUAAGGUGAAGGAAGAGAUUAUAGUUUCCUUGUGUGUUCAGAUAUUAGAAAUAGAGACGAUACAUUGAGGAGGUAAUUGAUUAUGUGACCCUAAUGUGAACGCUUAAGCAACUAGUCAUUCCUCGUAUUCAAAUCUCCCUAUACGGAUUUAUUCUGGGAGGUUUCUUUUGGAAUAAGUAAAACGAGCAAUCACAUUUUGGCGUCACUGCUAAGGAGUGAUAAUAGCUUUGAGUGUUAAGAAUUAAUUACCAAACGUGUGAGAAAAUUAGCAAUGGAAGACGAUUUCAGUAAUAUUUGAAGAAAAAGUAUGAUUAUUAAGAAUGAGAAUUUAAUAGCAAAGAGAAUAAAGCAAUCAAAAGAAAGAAUAGAGAGAUCGCAAGCAAGAAAUUUGUUACGUGAUGAGCAAGAUCGUAAAUUAAAAAAGAAGCAUCGACAAAGUUGGAUUAAGCCAUGGUUCCAUGCUUGUCGACAUAUUCGAUUGUACCUAGAAGACGAUCGACCUCUAAUACUUCAGAAGUACAUACCAUUAAAAAAAUUACUAAGAGCACUCGCGGGGAGUAUUGCUAAUAGUCUAGCAUACCUCUCGAAGCUAUUAACGAAAAGCAAGGAAAGCACAGAGGAAUUAGGUAGCCCAUUGGAUAUUUUUCCAAUUGGAGAUACGUCCAAUUCUAACAAGACUUGUUUUGAAGAUCGGCAUAAAUUACUUGCCAAUAAAGACUAAUUUAGAGUAUAUCAAAAUCUGUUGUUUUCACUUCAUAUUCAACCAGUAAAAUUAUUUGGAAAUAAUAAUAGUCAAUUGGGAAGGCCUGGAAGUCCAAAAAAGACUUUUGUGGGAGAUAAUUUUUAUUUUAAUAAGAAAUUGAACAGAACAUUGGCAUCUUUAAUGGCAUCUGGAGGAUCAGCAGUUCCGAUUGCAGUUCAAAUGGGUGCAGUAGGCGAUCGUACAACUAGUGUCAAGCCACUACCUAUUUUUUGGGGAUUUCUGGGUACGGAUCUAGAUUAACAUUUGUCUCAAUUCUUGACGACGUGUGUAGCUAAUAAUGAUAGAACUGAAGAUAUUUGGUUAAGAUGGCUGCCAACGACAUUAAAAGAUACGGCAUUUGAAUGGUACAACUGCCAACUAAUGGAUCAAUUUCCGAAUUGGAAAGCAUUGAAGAAUACAUUUUUAGCCCAUUCUCGACCAAUUGGUUUUGAAGAACAUCUUAGAGAAAAAUUAAUGAACAGCAGAAUAGUACCAGGGGAAGCGGUACAGUCAUAUUAUGGUCACGUAGCAGAUAUACUUCGAAAAUGGCCAAAUAACCAAAUGUCAAAAUCGUUUGUGUUGUCCAUAUUGGUUAAUGGACUACACCCACCAGAAUUGAAGAUGUUUGUAAAGGAGACCCAAUCAGUCACCAUUACAUCAUCUCUUGAGCAAAUGAGAGUAUGGGAGGAAUGUCACUAUGACCAAAACUUAACAGUUGGAGCCACAAUGAUUCUAUCUCAAGGAGGUUAUCAAAUGACAAAUUGGAAUGAUGCAUCGGAAGGUUAUCUGGGAAGGAAUAAUUAUGGUACAAUUCCACAUGGAAUCAUAGAUGUCGUUCCAUUGCAGGCUGUACCACCAUCAUCAUCACACCCGUAUGUGCCUUAUUCCGCAUAUCAAAAAUCAACACCUACAAAAGAAUUGCCAAAUGCAUUGGUAUCAAGGGAUCCCAAUGAGUCAUUGCUGUUAACAUUGACGAAAAAAAUGGAUGAAUUGGCUGUGAAUCUGGCCAAGGAUAAAGAAAAGAAGUAUAAAUCAAGUAAUAUGCAUCCCAAUGUCUAGUGCAGCAAUUGUAAGGGACAAGGUCAUUUUGUAACAGAAUAUCCUUCACCACCCUAAAUGAUUGUACAAUGUACCUUUUACGGGGGCAAGCAUAUUACCACCAACUGUUGGAAUUUACGGAAGCAACAACAACUCAGUAAUGAGAUAAUGAGUCAAUCAACUUUGUGGAAUGUCAAUCAAAUACAAACAAAUAAUAGGUUUGGUUGGAAUAGAAAUCGAGCGAAUAAACAAAAUAGGAAUUAUUCUAAUUUCUUAAACUCUAAAUUUUACCAAGAAGGUUUAUCCAAUACUCACGGAUUGGCGAUGAACCAACCAAGAUACCAUCAAUAUCUACCCAUGAUGAAGCCAAUGCUAGAGUCUAUAAUAACAAUGGAUCAAUCAAGAUCCUUUAUUCAUCCUACAUGAAACAAGCCUAAUAGGUAUAUACCGGUGGAGGCACCCAAUAAGCCUGAUGGAGGUGCAAGGAGACCACUUCGUUGCUAUUGUUGCAGACAAAUAAGUUAUUAUGCCAAUGAAUGUCCUAAUCCAAGGGCCACUGAUGAUUAUGCUCCACUAUGUAGAAAUUGUAAGCAGUCUGGUUACACUUAUCAGCAAUGCAAUGUGCCCUUUAAUUAUAAUAACUAGGACCAGUAAAUGCAAAUAAGCCAACUAGCAGAGGACAAAGGCCUUAUUCAACAAGACGCACCAGAACAUCAAGUCGAGGUGGUGAACGCAGUACUUACGAGAUGCUAACAAAAAGACAAGAAUCCAAUUCAAGACAUGGAUGAACCAAUCAUAGGAGAGCAAGUAGCACCGUCCACAGGGCUAAACGAACCAAUAUCAAUAUUAGGACAUAUUCUAAUAUUAAGACCUCAACAGACUGAAGAAUCUAAUUCGAUUUCACAUGCCAAUUUACUGGGACCAUCCAAUCCAGGUCCUGUUAUGGGCUUUGUACCUAGUAUGAGACCUAACUCGAUGGUACAACCCAAUGAGGUCCCAAUUAUGGAGGCUUCGGUUCCGUUCCAAGCAGUUCCAAUCUCUACGCAAUUCUGAGAAACGUCCUAUCCAUUGAAAGAUCCUCUCGAGGGCGGAAAUUUCAAGGAAGCCCCGGCUGCUGUUCCAAUUCCGAGUCCAGGGUGGAAGAAUAUCUUAUCUCACGAAGUUAAACUCAAACCAAUAAAACACAAAAGAGCAUUAGAAAUUACUCUCAAUAUGGAAUCCUAUGACAUUCUGAAGAAUUUGGAUGUUAUUCAGCCUUCAAUUACAAUGAAGCAACUUUUGGCUGUAGCAUCGAAAUGUUGAUCUAUAUUGAAUUUAGUGCUAAUACAACAAAGAUCCCGCACUAAAGAAAUUUAUGAAGUUAUCUUAAACCCAGAUCUGGGUGCACCAACAAUCGAUGUAACAAUCGAUGGCAUUUUAAUUCCAGGGGUACAAGUCGAUGGUGGCUCCAAUAUGAAUUUAAUGAACGUGGAUACAAUGAAGUACUUGGAUCUAAAGCAAUUACUACCUACGACAUUGGUCUUACGAAUGACAGAUCAUAGUCGGAUAAAGUCAAUGGAAAUCUUACGUAAUAUUGCUACUGUAAUCGUAGGAUUUACAUACAAAAUCAAUUAUAUUGUAUUCCAAUUAUAGAAUUCUAUGUUAUUGUAUCCCAUUUUAUUGGGCAGACCUUGGCUUUAUUAAGCCAAAGCUAAGAAUGAUUAGGACCGAGGCACAUUGACAAUUGGAAAAGGCCGUGAUCAGAUUGUUUUACAGAUGUAUCCCGUACAAUAUCAUGGAGAAUCUCAAUUGCCAAAAUCAGAAUUUACAUCGGACAACGAGAGUCAAUUGAUUGAGGCAAAUAACGAUCCUAUAGGUUCAUCGCAAUUUGGGGUAGGACAAAACACUUCAACAGCAAAAGCAGGAUUCUACCAAUGUGGAGGUCUCGACAAAUAUUUACUGCAUCAGGAGAAUGCGACUAACUCAUAUCAUGCUAUUGCCGAAUAGAUGAACAAUUCUGCAAUCAAUAGAGUCAGCACAUUAGAACCAAAUUUGGGUGGUUUCCAUAUGUCGAAUAAUACAAGAUAUUCAAAUCAAGAGAAGACAAUUAAAUCAGAGGUUGUUGAAGACCUUGUGUAUCAAUCUAUUAACUUGGGAACCAACGAAAUGCCACAGCUAAUUAAAAUAUAUGCCAGUAUUAUAAGUACAGAAUUGGAUGCUUGGAAAUAGUUUUUUGUCAAUCACAAAUCUGUCUUUGUAUGGUCGUAUGCGGAUUUGAAAGGGAUUCCGGUUGAUGUAUAUGAGCACCAGAUUAUUUUGGAGGAGGGUAUUACACCAAUUCGUCAAAGUCAACAUCGCCUUAAUCCUAAAUAUUUCCUCAUGGUGAAUGAGGAAUUGGAUGAACUUCUCGACGUGGAUUUUAUUUAUCCUGUUCCGCAUAAUACAUGGAUGUCGCCAAUCGUGAUAAUACCGAAGAAGAAUGGAAAAAUCCAAAUAUGUCAAGAUUUUUGAAAGUUAAAUGUGGCCACUAAGAAAGAUUACUUUUUAUUACCUUUCACGGACAGUAUGGGUAACAUGUUGUCAUUAUCACCAGGUAGUAAAAGAAUAGGAGUGGGGCACCAAUUAAAGUCAUUCUGUGGUAUUGUUUUGAUUUGGCUGGAGUGCCAUUUUCUUGUAUUUCUUGUGUUUUCAAGAGUAGUAGUUUCAAUUAAGAGUUAACAGUGAGGAGCCAAUCACAAGUGUCAAUUGAAGAUAUUCCAGAAUGGAUGAAUCAACAGCAAUAACAAUUGGAACUUCGAGAUGUCCAAAUCUUGAAAUUGGAUGUUCAAGUCCGUGUAUUGGGUGAGUAUAAUGAAGAUCUAUCAAACCAGUUGAGGAAGGGGUCGAUGGACUGGAGGAAGAAGAAGAAGAUGUGCAAUUGGAACCAGAUUUGGUCAAACCUACAUUCGAUAAUGCAACAAUUGAUUAAUUAGAUAGGCAAGAGGGAUCACAAUUUUUGUGGAGAUUUGUUAGAUAAUUUUUAGAUAGGUAUCAAUUGAGUGUUUGCGAGGACGCUGUAUAGAUAGGAGUGGGGCUAUGUAGAAUAGAUAUUAAUUUAUUUUUGAAAGAUAUUGGUAAAAUAUAUUAAUAGUCCAUAUAAUAGGAAAUUCAGGAGGACGGAUGAGUAUUUUAGUUCUUAAAAGCAGUUAAUUAUAGAAUUAUGGUUAGAAUUUGGAGAAUCAAAGAAAAGUAUAUAGGAGUUGUAGAAGUUAAUUAAGGUGCUAAACUGUGAGAGUCGUAAGCCGAGGGCUAAACUGUAAUAGUCAUGAGUCGAGGGCCAUCACUAAAAUAAUUGUAAGCCGGAAUAAGCUUGGUGCUACCUCUUUUCUUUUGUUUGUUAUUUUCUUUUAAUAAGAAGAUUGAGAGUUUCUAAAUAUUGUGAAGUAAAUUAUGGAAUGGAAAUGUGAUUGUUAUUAUUUGAGAAGAAGAAAGAUUGAAUGCUGAAAUCUAAUUGUAGUUGAGCAGAGAGAAUGAGUCUAUAUUUGUGUGAAACAUCGUAAUGUGAAUGGCAGUUCUGUGUGAAGAAUUCCAAUGAUUGGAAUGAGGAUAAUUGUGUGCUGAAAGUUGUGAGAGCGCAGUAUUACACUUGGAGAUUAUGAGGGUGAAUAUAUUGGUGGAAAUAGCAGUUAUUGGUAUGACUGAAUUACUGUAAGGAAGAGAUCGAUAAGGUGAAGGAGGAGAUUAUAGUUUCCUUGUAUAUUCAGAUAUUAGAAAUAGAGAUGAUACAUUGAGGAGGUAAUUGAUUGUGUGACCCUAACGUGAACGCUUAAGUGACUAGUCAUUCCCCGUGUUCGAAUCUCUCUAUACAGAUUUAUUCUGGGAGGUUUCUUCUGGAAUAAGUAAAACGAGCAAUCACAUUAAGGCAUUAGUAAAGGCAUGCAAUGGCAAAGCACAUGAAUGGCCUAGACUACUACCAUUUGCACUAUGGAUAGAUCGUACAAUUCAUAGUUUGGUAACAGAUUAUAUGCCUUUUGAAUUAAUAUAUGGACAAAAAUCAGUAAUGCGAAUAGAAGAUGUAGUACCUACAUGGGGUGUAUUGCCUUAGAAGAAUGAUCUCAACAGAGAAGAACUUUUAACAUUACGGAUUCAACAACUAGAAAAAAGAUCCAAUGAUAUUGAAACAGUAAUAGAAAAAUUGUAAGAAGCAAGGUGACUUUUAGAAAGGUGACUUCUACUUACUUUGUAGCACCAUAAGUAAGGCAAAUCAAAGUAGAUUAGAAAAAUAAAUGAUAUAGGCAUCUUUAAGAAGAAAUUAAGAGUAAAUUCUAGAAAAAAUUACUUAGAAAAACUAGAUAUUUAUACCCAGAGAGAGCCGGUUAUGAACCAGGAUCGAAAUCAAAUCCUAGGGCACAAAACCAAGUCUCGACAACGACUCUGGAGCUCUUUUGGAAAUCGAAGAAUGAGGUUUGAUAGCAGACUAAAUGAUCUUUCUAUGAGCAUUGAUUUUGGGUGAUUUGGAGUUGAUAUGACUUUGUAAGAGCUUUACAAAGUCAAAGUUUGUUUCGGAUGACUUAGAUUUUAUGAAAUAAAAUAGGGUUUACGUUUUGAGUGAUUUCAAGAGUUUUGUAAUAGAUCUAUGGAUGAAAUUUUGUGGGUUUAUGGUUAUAGUUGUAUUUGAUAUGUAUCAUAAAUUUUAGCUUGAUUUAAAGAUUGAAUUGAGGAAUAUUGAGGUUUAAGUGGGUCAAGGUCUCAGAAAGUAGAAUUUUAGAUCUAGUAGGGGUUUUUGAGAUUUCUUGCAAUCUAUUAAUUGAAUUGGAGUGAAACUUAUGUGAGAGGAUAUAAGACUUAUUUUUCUAUGUGUAUAAAAAUUUUAAGAUCAAUCGAAUAGUGCAAAAGAGAGAUAUUGGCUCUAGAAGAUUGGCAUUAAGAUUGGAGAAGGAGGUCGGCCAAUAUCCAAGCACAUUUUUGAGGUUAUCGUCAAUUUGGUAAAUUCGAUCCUUAUCAAUUUUUUUGUGCUUGUUUUUAACUUAAUUUUUUAGAAGUGUGAAAAUUUUGAGUUAAGAUCAACAGUUUAUUCAUUAGUUAUUGAGGUUUAAAUCUAUUGUUGGAAUUAUUAGAAUUUGGUUUAGAGUUUGGUUAGGAUUUGAUUUGGAGUUUAGGGUUUGAAUUAGGGUUUGAUUUAAGAUUUAGGAUUUGAUUAGGGUUUUGUUUAGGGUUUGGUUAGGAUUCGAUUUAGGAUUUAGGAUUUGGUUAUGGUUUGAUUUAGGAUUUAGAGUUUGGAUUAGGGUUUGAUUUAGGAUUUAGGAUUUGGAUUUGGGUUUGAUUUAGGAUUUAGGAUUUGGUUUAGAGUUUGGUUUGGAUUUGGUUUAGGAUUUUGUUGGGAUUUGAUUUAAGAUUUGUUUAGGGUUUGAUUUUGGAUUUAGGAUUUUAUUAGGAUUUAAGAUUCAAUUAUUUUUGACCUAAAGUUUGAAUGAAGUUCAAUAGGAUUUUAACUAGAAUUAAAUUAAGAUUGAAUUGAGAUGUAUUUGAGUGAUAUUUGUGUUCUUUCUAAUGUUUCUUUAAGAUUUCUUAUUGUUUGUUUGAAAUUUCUUUGAGGUUUUUUUGAAUUUGAUUAAGCUUUUUUAGCAUUAUUAUAGUCUAAU
rnacentral:lncRNA from 1 species